rnacentral:rRNA from 1 species
AUUGAACGCUGGCGGCAUGCUUUACACAUGCCAGUCGAACGGCAGCGCGGGCUUCGGCCUGGCGGCGAGUGGCGAACGGGUGAGUAAUGCAUCGGAACGUGCCCAGUAGUGGGGGAUAGCCCGGCGAAAGCCGGAUUAAUACCGCAUACGACCUGAGGGUGAAAGCGGGGGACCGAAAGGCCUCGCGCUAUUGGAGCGGCCGAUGUCGGAUUAGCUAGUUUGUGGGGUAAAGGCUUACCAAGGCGACGAUCCGUAGCUGGUCUGAGAGGACGACCAGCCACACUGGGACUGAGACACGGCCCAGACUCCUACGGGAGGCAGCAGUGGGGAAUUUUGGACAAUGGGGGCAACCCUGAUCCAGCCAUGCCGCGUGCGGGAAGAAGGCCUUCGGGUUGUAAACCGCUUUUGUUCGGGAAGAAAUCCUCUGGGCUAAUACCCCGGGGGGAUGACGGUGCCGGAAGAAUAAGCACCGGCUAACUACGUG